rnacentral:rRNA from 1 species
GUAGGUGAAAGCUUACAUCUCUUCGGAGCAUUUUACGAGGUGCUGCAUGGUUGUCGUCAGCUCGUGCCGUGAGGUGUCGGGUUAAGUCCCAUAACGAGCGCAACCCUACCUUUAGUUGCCAUCAGGUAAUGCUGGGGACUCUAAAGGAACUGCCUACGCAAGUAGUGAGGAAGGCGGGGAUGACGUCAAAUCAGCACGGCCCUUACGUCCAGGGCUACACACGUGCUACAAUGGCCGAUACAGAGGGCAGCUACCUGGUGACAGGAUGCAAAUCUCCAAAGUCGGUCUCAGUUCGGAUCGGAGUCUGCAACCCGACUCCGUGAAGUUGGAUUCGCUAGUAAUCGCGCAUCAGCCAUGGCGCGGUGAAUACGUUCCCGGGCCUU